AACGAACGCUGGCGGCAGGCCUAACACAUGCAAGUCGAACGCCCUAGCAAUAGGGAGUGGCAGACGGGUGAGUAACACGUGGGAACCUUCCCUAUAGUACGGAAUAGCCCAGGGAAACUUGGAGUAAUACCGUAUACGCCCGUAAGGGGAAAGAUUUAUCGCUAUAGGAUGGGCCCGCGUAGGAUUAGCUAGUUGGUGAGGUAAUGGCUCACCAAGGCGACGAUCCUUAGCUGGUUUGAGAGAACGACCAGCCACACUGGGACUGAGACACGGCCCAGACUCCUACGGGAGGCAGCAGUGGGGAAUAUUGGACAAUGGGCGCAAGCCUGAUCCAGCCAUGCCGCGUGAGUGAUGAAGGCCUUAGGGUUGUAAAGCUCUUUUAGCAGGGAAGAUAAUGACUGUACCUGCAGAAUAAGCUCCGGCUAACUUCGUG
rnacentral:rRNA from 1 species